CCCUAAUAUGUGCCCUGCGAACACCUUCACACCCCCUUCCCCACCUCUCGCCACACCCUUCCUCAUCUCCCAACCCCACACCCCUUCCCUCUUCAUCGUCGCCCUCUCUACCCCCUCCCUCGCCCUCUUCCGCCGCCUCCACCACUCCACCCCCGCCGCCUCCCUCCUCUUCCCGGAGCUCCCCCUCUCCCGCCCCAACCACACCGUCGACCUCUUCGCCCUCUCCCCCUCCGCCCUUCUCGCCGCCGUCCCCUUCCCCGUCCCCGCCCACCGCACCCACGCCCUCACCCGCGCCCUCCUCUCCGCCCGCAUGGCGCCUCGCUCCAUCCUCGUCCUUGACUCCCUCCAACCUCCCAACUUCCGCGGGAGCCUCUCGUCCGACGAAAUGCUAGCAUUUAAGCUCAAGAGCUCAGCCAAAAGGAAGAGGGCCGAGGUUGAGAAGAUGCUCCCUGGGGUUCCGUAUUACCCUUUCGGCAGCGUCGUUGAUGGGUUCGGCGCCGUGAUUUUCCCGCCCUGCCAGGCGCUCAACGUGAGGUUAUGUUAUUUCUUUUCCAGAUACAUUAGGGUUUCUCUCCGACCUCACUUCUUUCCGGGAUUUUGGGGGCAAACUUAAUCUCUGACACUUAUGGCCUCCAACAUGUAGAUGACUCCUCAGGUCGAGCAGAUCCACGGUGAAAUUCGCGACACAUUUUGAGCCCUCGCCUUCAACAUGUCCUAUCCUCCUUUUCAUGGAUUAUGACUUUAGUUCCAGUGAGGAUACUACAGAAUUGGAUCAUGCUGGUGUUAUAAAUAGUGAUCAAAGAAGUGUAAGUAAUUUAUUUUGAAAUAUCAUUUUAGGUAAUUAAUUUAUUUAUUUGACACAUCAGUUUAUAUAAGUAAUUUAUUUUGUUAAUUACAAGGAAAUUUUACAUCCUCUGAUGAUGAUACUAACAAAGAAGAUGGCAGUAGUGCUCUAGUCAAG